GAUGAAGAACGCAGCGAAAUGCGAUAAGUAAUGUGAAUUGCAGAAUUCAGUGAAUCAUCGAAUCUUUGAACGCACAUUGCGCCCCCUGGUAUUCCGGGGGGCAUGCCUGUCCGAGCGUCAUUACAACCCUCAAGCUCAGCUUGGUGUUGGGCCCCGCCGCCCCGGCGGGCCCUAAAGUCAGUGGCGGUGCCGUCCGGCUCCGAGCGUAGUAAUUCUUCUCGCUCUGGAGGUCCGGUCGUGUGCUCGCCAGCAACCCCCAAUUUUUACAGGUUGACCUCGGAUCAGGUAGGGAUACCCGCUGAACUUAAGCAUAUCAAUAAGCGGAGGA
rnacentral:misc_RNA from 1 species